rnacentral:rRNA from 1 species
CCUACGGGAGGCAGCAGUAAGGAAUAUUGGUCAAUGGACGGAAGUCUGAACCAGCCAUGCCGCGUGCAGGAUGACGGCCCUCUGGGUUGUAAACUGCUUUUAUAGGGGACGAAAAAAGGGGAUUCUUCCUCACUUGACGGUACCCUAGGAAUAAGCACCGGCUAACUCCGUGCCAGCAGCCGCGGUAAUACGGAGGGUGCAAGCGUUAUCCGGAUUUACUGGGUUUAAAGGGUGCGUAGGUGGGUCGGUAAGUCAGCGGUGAAAUCUUCGAGCUUAACUCGGAAACUGCCAUUGAUACUAUCGAUCUUGAAUCGUCUAGAGGUAAGCGGAAUAUGUCAUGUAGCGGUGAAAUGCUUAGAUAUGACAUAGAACACCAAUUGCGAAGGCAGCUUACUAUGGAUGUAUUGACACUGAGGCACGAAAGCGUGGGGAUCAAACAGGAUUAGAUACCCUGGUAGUCCACGCCCUAAACGAUGGAUACUCGACAUUUGAGAUAUACUUUAAGUGUCUGAGCGAAAGCAUUAAGUAUCCACCUGGAAGUACGAUCGCAAGAUUGAAACUCAAAGGAAUUGACGG